ACCACACAGAAACAGUCUACCCUAAAAUCAUUGAAGAACGUAGUGGGGAUGGAUCUCUGGUACUGCGCAUUCGCCGUGGGCUGUCACUUUCUCUUAACAAGAUUUCAGUUGCGACGGAAGCACUUCGACUUAGAAGCUCUGUCAACGGCACUAUCAUUGACCAAACUAUCGGAUUGCUGAACCCAGGUGAAAGAAUACAGCCCGCUUUUUUUGAACCCAAACGUGUUUCGGGAGGGCUACCACAUACUGUACAAAGGAUCCAGCAAGCUCUUGACCUAGAGCGGAUAACUAAGGAAAAAGUGCAAGGUAUUUUACCUAGAAGCUACACUGACACAAAAAUGCCGGGCGAAGUUACCAUUGAAGUGUACGUUGUGUCAGACACAAUCCACAACAAGAGAUUUGAGGACAACGACCUUUUGGUCUAUAUAUGCAUCUUUAUGAAUACCGUAAGC